UAACGCGUGGAUAACCUGCCUCACACAGGGGGAUAACAGUUAGAAAUGACUGCUAAUACCGCAUAAGCGCACGGCAUCGCAUGAUGCAGUGUGAAAAACUCCGGUGGUGUGAGAUGGAUCCGCGUCUGAUUAGGUAGUUGGUGGGGUAACGGCCCACCAAGCCGACGAUCAGUAGCCGACCUGAGAGGGUGACCGGCCACAUUGGGAUUGAGACACGGCCCAA
rnacentral:rRNA from 1 species